GAUGAACGCUGGCGGCGUGCCUAAUACAUGCAAGUCGAGCGAAGCGGGGACGGGUGAGUAAUACGUGGAUAACCUCCGAUAAGACGGGGAUAAAUUCGGGAAACGGGAGCAAAACCGGAAAGUUCUAGGAGGAUACGCGCUGGAUUAGCUAGUUGGUAAGGUAACGGCUUACCAAGGCAACGAUGCAUAGGCGACCUGAGAGGGUGAUCAGCCACACUGGAACUGAGACACGGUCCAGACUCCUACGGGAGGCAGCAGUAGGGAAUCUUCCGCAAUGGGCGAAAGCCUGACGGAGCAACGCCGCGUGAGUGAAGAAGGUCUUCGGAUCGUAAAACUCUGUUAUUAGGGAAGCGGUACCUAAUCAAAAAGCCCCGGCUAACUCCGUGCCAGCAGCCGCGGUAAUAC
rnacentral:rRNA from 1 species